rnacentral:lncRNA from 1 species
AUUGGUCCUAAAUGGUCUGCUGGAUGUAGCCUUGGAUGAGUGUGAACCCACUGCAUGAUUAUCUGCAGCUCAAAGUUCCACUGCAUGGAGGACGAAGCCAGGUGGUUCUCACUAUGUGGCUAACAGGUUGCAGACAGUCUCACUCCAUUGCUAAAUAUUCUACAACCACAUCCCUGGAUGAGGCAGCGGUGAGAGCUGGCUCUCUGUGUGGCUAACUAGUCCCCAAUCUGGCUGCAUGCAGAAUGAUGUGAGUGAUGGCUCUCUGUGCUGCUAACUGCUCAUAAUCAUUCUGCAGGAGGCAGGUAAGAUUGAAUGCAGGCUCGCUGUGUGGUGAUUUGCUGCUCAACCU